CAAAGCCCUCACGAUUUUCCCACCCCGGGACCGCCCGACGCUCGGCGGCCACGGACCCGCAGUUCGAACAAUGCCGCCAGCGGGAGGGAAAGUUCGCCGACCCGCCGGGCGCCCGCGCUCUCGCUCCCGCCGGGUGGGCACCCGAGCUCCCCGGGGUGCCUCGCCGCACCCAGCACCACCCGUUCUUCCUUCUCCAGGCACUCGGUUCUUUCCGCCCCCCAACAUCUAAACAGCCAGGGCGCGCCCUCGCUCCCUGGAGCAUCCGACCCCUGGCGGUCGACAGAGCAGGUCCUCCCGCCACGGGUCUGGCCCCGUCAGCCCCGAAGCCAGGCAAAGGGCAGGGACGGAGGAGGGGGCGCCAGGAGGGGGCACCGGAGGAAAGAGCCGCAACAGUUAUGGCGCUCAAUUCCUGCCCGGUGUAGCCGGGAGCUGCAGCCAAGCUCGCGCGUCCGCCCCCGCCCCCCGCCCGGGCCACCAAGCACUGCCCGGGCUGGCAGAGGGGCCACUAGGCACUUUACCUCAGCCCACACACGCUCUCGGCCCCAAGGCGCCGGGGACGCCGGAGGCGACCACGAUGUGGAACCGGAGCAACCCGGAGCGCGGCGAGGCCGGGCCGGGACUGUGCGCUCCGCACCGCCCGCUUCCACUCCCGGAGGCCGCCGCUCCCGCCGCCCACCCGGCGCGACGCCCCCAACCUCGCCCGCGCCGGGUCCGGCCUCCGCGGCGCCUACCUUCGCGCAGCUGGCUCGCGGCUCCUGCCCGGCUCCACGCCGCGGCCCGGCAAUGUGCCGGGUGAGUCCGGUCGGAGUGGUAACCGCCCCCCUAACCGCUCGCUUUCUUCUCUUCCCUCCCUCGCACCUGCCCCUUAAUCCCCUCCUCGCCCCCGCCCCCCGCCGGGGCCGCCCCCCGCGCCUCAGCUCCCGCCCUCGGCCCUCGUCCGCCCGGCCCGUCAGGCCUCAGCGCUGGGCAGGCGGUUGGGCGGCGGCAGCGGCUGAGGCGGCGCGGAGCACUAUUGUAUUCCUGACACUGUGCGCUCCCACGCUCCGCCUCUUCCCUUUCCUUCCUCCCCCAACCUCUCCUCCCACCCACCGCCGGCCGCGCUCGCCCUACCGGAGCGGCUCCCAGCCGUCUGCCCGCCGCGCGUUCUUCUGGCGGGCUGGGCGCCGUCGCCACCCGCCGCCUCGACGCCCCGCCCACUCGCCGCUCCCGCACCCGCGGCGCCGCGUCCCAGGUGGGCUCCCCUCCCGUCCAGCUGGGUGCGCCACUGCCCAAGACGCCCCAGCCCCGCCGAGCGCUAGAGAGGACGAGGUGCGGAUGCCUCGGCUGUGUUGA
rnacentral:lncRNA from 1 species